rnacentral:rRNA from 1 species
AUGAUGAAACGAGUGGAAGGAAGGAACGAUAUGACAGGAAAGACAAGAUUGCAUCCAAACCCAUCUUUCUUGGUUAUAAGUCUGGUGUUAAAGGUUUUAAAUUAUGGAAUCCUGAAAACCAGAAGGUUGUUAUUAGCAGAAAUGUUAUCUUUAAUGAAACAACUAUGUUACAUGACGUUCCAUUUACUAAUGUUCCUGUUGAGAGUGAAGAGCAACUAUCAGGUGGAGCAUGUUAUUGAUUCAGGUGAUACAUCCGGUAAUGAAAAUGUUGAUGCACAUGAUGAACCGAUCGUUGAUGAUGAACAUGUCACUCCAAAUCAGCCUAUUGUUCCACCCAGUUGGAAUCUCGCAUGUGACAGAGUUAGGCGGGUUAUUAAUAAACCUGACAGGUUAAUUGAAGAGUGCAAUAUGUUUCUUUUGCUUUAUCUGUUGCAGAAGAAAUUGAAGGUAAUGCUGAGCCUUCUUCAUAUUCCGAGGCUAUUAUUUCUGGUAAUAGUAAUAAGUGGAUGGCUGCUAUGCAUGAUGAGAUGGAAUCACUUGAAAAGAAUGGCACUUGGGAUUUAG